GUCAGCAAAGACAGAAAAUGUGAGUGACAUGAUUAACUACCUUGACCUAAUUGAUAUUUAUAGAACACUUCAUCCAGCAACUGUAAAAUGUACCUUCUUCUCAGUGCACAUGGUAUGUUUACCAGGAUAGGACAUUUUCUGGAUAAUAAAAAAAAUUCAAUUAAUUUUAAAAAGUUGAAAUAAAAUUGUUUGUUCUCUGACCACAAUGAAAUUAAAUUAAAAACUAAGAACAAUACUAUAAAUAUUUGGAAACUAAAGAACACACUUUUAAGCAUUUAUUGGUUGAAGAAAAAAAAUCACAAGAGAGAUUGAAAAUAUUUUGUACUGAAUGAUAAUAAAAAUAUAACAUAUCAAAAUUUGUGGGACAUAACUAAGAUAGCACUCAGGGAAAUUUAUAGCUUUUAGUGCCCAUUAGAGGGAGAAAAAAAAGAGUCUCAAUUUAUCUAAAUUUUUACCCUUAUUUAUUUAUUUUUUGGUACUAUGGAUUGAAUCCAGGGGCGCUUAACCACUGAGCCAGAUCCCCACCCCUUUUAUUUGAAGACAGGGUCUUGCUAAAUUGCUUAGGACCUAGCAAAGUGGCUGAGUCUGCCCUCAAUUUGGAAUCCUUCUGCCUCAGCUUCCUGAGUCACUGGAAUUACAGGCAUAUGCCACUGCAUCUGGCUUAAAUCGUUACCUUUAAAAUCUAGAAAAAGGAGAGCAAAUGGAGCCUUAGACAAUCGAAAGAAAGGAAAUAGUAAAUACAGAAAUCAAUGAAAUAAAGAACAAAAGGAGAGAGAAAAAAAACAAUAAGACAAAAGUUGGUCCUUUGGAAAAACUAAUAAAAUCAAUAAGUCUCAAGUGUGAAUGACAUAGAAAGAAAGAGAGAGAGAAAAGAAAUUUCUAGUAUCAAGAAUGAAAAAAAGAGUUCUCCCUUGUCCUGAGCUGCUUUUUUCCUCCACACCCUUUGGUUAUAAUAUUCUCAAGCCCAGAGCUAUGGAAUAAGCUUUCUAUGGG
rnacentral:lncRNA from 1 species